ensembl:lncRNA
CAGCUGAGUAGGAUUCAUACACACUUAAAUCACCAUUUACUUCUGGCACAGUAAUGUAAACAACUGGUGAAUAUACCAUUAGAGCUACUUAUUUGACAGUCUGCAUGAAGCCAGAGGAACAUGCAGUUAACAACAUACAAGAAAUCUCCCCAUCUAGACAGAGUUUGGAAGGAGAGACAGCUUCAUCCUGAUUGCUCCCCAAGCUCCCAUUUGUGAGCUCCACUGAACAAGACACGUUUCUUCAAAAGGCUGAACAAUGCUCAGACAGAUGGAUUCAUAAGAGUACAGGAUUGAAACAGUAGGAUGGAUCCACUUCAAAUGUCACCUGGUCUUUGGCAGCUCAAACAUGUGGCUCUCUACAAGCAAGGUCUGAGAGAUGCUCUGCUCUAGCUGAUACUGUUGCAAAGAGCCGGCAGAGGAAAUCACUGAAGGAAAUCUAAAAGCGUUCCACUACCAAACAGGAAGCAAAGCAGCACCAAAAAGCUGUGCUGUUCACUGGGGAUCUGUUCAAACGAGAUGGUGUUGAAGAGAUUCAACCCAGGAUAGGAUGCUGCAAAGAUGAGUUUAAAGACUUGUAACAGAAUGAAAUGGAGCCUAAAAUUAGUACAGGGUGUUUUGCCUCUGCUCUAUAUUCCUGUCUGAUGUCGUGAGAUCGUAUCACUACUAGAGGCAAACGCUUUCUCACUGCUGCUGCUGUGAAAGGAUAACAGAAGAUGCCAAAACCUCUAGUGAGGCAUAUUAAAUGAAAAUCACUAUAAACUUUUCUACUGUCCUUCUGUCACUGUACAGUAUUUCAGUGUUAAUGUUUUGAUUCAGUAGUUACAUAUCUAGCAAAGAGCAAAGCUGUGCCUGAUUUCACAAUAAACAGCUUUUAAUGGGGUACAUACAACAUUAGCAAUAUUUUGAGUGGAAAACAUGAGAUGGGAGUUUGUUGCUACGGGUUUUAGGGGCUUAAGUAAAAAUUAAAUUUGGAAUAGCCUCAGAAAGCUCACUUACCUCUCGCUGUUGCAAGUAACAAUCCAAAUAAACUCCCACAUAAACCCCCCUGCAAGCUGAAAAAUAAUCCUAGAGUAAAAUCUAGUUUCAAAAUUAAGCCACCUUAAUUUUAAUAUUGUUUCUAUGCCCAGGGAAAAAAAAAUCAUCUUUGGAUAAAUGCAUUUGAAAAAAAUGAAAAGAACACAACUUUUGUUUUGAGAAUAUUCUGUGAAGGAGUUAUUUUCAGCUAGCUCACACUUGUUAACAAGCAGCACUUGGGCAGUCUCCUUAUUCUUUAAGUAGGCACAGAGACCAGAGCAUAGGUAUACCCACUCUCACUCACACAAUUGCCACUGGCAAGUGAAAGUACAGUUUCUUCAGUUUCUCAAGCACACAACACGCAACGUUGCUCAGAUAAUUUGGAAUUACAGUGGGAUCUAGUGACACUAUCCAAACUGUGCUGCCAGUCACCUCUCAUAAGGAGGCAAGACACAAGGAAACUAGAUACAGCCCAAGGAGGCAAGCACAGCUGGGAUUAAGGGUGUAAUAACUGAAUUGGACGGCAUUUUUUGGCUCAGAUUAUUACUGCCAGCCCUAGCAGACCUAGUGAUCCUGCUCUUGAUUUUCUCAAGUUUUUGCAAGUUUACCCGACUUUUACUUUAGAGGUCAGACUGACACAUAGCCCAGGAGAUUAGCUACAUAAAUCUCAGAGCAACUUUCCCUCUUCCAAGGAAAAGUGCUGCUACACAAGGGGCAGUCCAUAGGCUUCUCACAAGCUCAGCUUUUCACUCUUGCUGAGACAUUUGGCAAAAUUGAAAGGAGAUGAGAGGGAAAAGAACAGUUAAAGAAAUUGAGGUUAGAUAUGUACAAACAGAAACAUAUUUAGCAUGCACUUCACUUACAGCUUUUGAUUAAACCCAUUUUGCUCACUUUGGUACAUUUUAAUCUUAGAGACAAAGCCAACACAUACAAGCCAGUUAAAGACAAAAAAGGGAUAAGACUUAAAACUUUUCACCAAGUUCAUAGAUGAUCAGUAGCAAAGCCACAGGUAGAACUCAUGUUUCAUCCUAGUGUUGCUCUGUCAUGGAUAAGGUUUUUGGGACCUUUUCUUGGCCUUACCACUAUUAAAGCCUUUCCCAUCUACAGGGGAUGGUGACUCCCCUGCAUCUCAAAC